AUAAAUAUUUAUAUUUUUUUCCUCUGUUUAGAUUCAACGGUCGAGGAUUUUACGAAAACAAAGGAAGCAACGUUAGAAUUCCUUUUAACCAAAAAAACGAAACCUUUUCUUUUGGCUCGAAUAGGGUUCUUCUAGAAGCAGCUGGAGCUUGAUUCCCGCCACUCAGAAAGUGAUGGCUGAACUGAGGCUGGAGGAACGUUGUCUUUACAAGAAGCAAUUAACUACCGCUUCAAGUUCUUCUGUAUCCGAAGGCGGUGGCAAUGCAGUUGUAAAGUCCCCAGGCGUAUCUAGUCCAGCACCAACAUCACCAAAUCAUCGGAGAACUACUGGCCCUAUUAGGCGAGCAAAAGGUGGCUGGACACCGGAAGAGGAUGAGACGUUAAGAAAUGCUGUUGCUGCUUUUAAGGGGAAGAGUUGGAAAAAAAUAGCUGAAUUUUUUCCAGAUAGAUCAGAAGUGCAAUGUCUUCAUAGAUGGCAGAAAGUCCUAAACCCCGAUCUUGUUAAAGGACCUUGGACUCAAAAGGAGGAUGAUAAAAUUAUUGAGCUUGUAUCAAAAUAUGGGCCGACAAAAUGGUCUGUUAUUGCAAAAUCUUUGCCUGGACGAAUAGGGAAACAAUGCCGUGAGAGAUGGCACAAUCAUCUGAAUCCUGAUAUAAAGAAGGAUGCUUGGACGAUGGAGGAGGAAUUGGCCCUUAUGAAUGCACACCGGACAUAUGGGAACAAGUGGGCUGAAAUUGCAAAAGUUUUACCUGGAAGAACUGAUAAUGCAAUAAAGAAUCACUGGAAUAGUUCUUUGAAGAAGAAGUUAGAUUUCUAUUUGGCUACAGGGAAGCUUCCACCAGUUUCGAAGAAUGGUCUUCAAAAUGUGACCAAGGAUAUAAGAACACCUACUACCCAAAAUUUUCUAGUUUGUUUGAAAAAAGAAUCAGGUUCAACUGCUCAAACUUCCUCAGGAACUACAGAUACUUGUAAGCUGGAGGAAGAUGGAAAAGAUCAGUUGGAGUCCUCUGCUCCAGUUCAAGAUAUGACUGCUUCUACAAACUUUAUUCCAGAAGAGCCUACUGAUACUGAGAGUACAGAGUGCAAGCUGCAGUCAGUUGAUAUAAAUCUCUGCUGCUGUACCUCUGAGUCAGGGGGGAAGUUUGGGAGUCACAGAAUCAGUUCUCAAGUUGUCGAAGACAAAGUUCUCAAGGAACAAGUUGGGCUUGAUACUCCAACUUAUUGUUCUCUAUGUUGUGAUGAAUCACCUAGAUCACAGCAUGAAUGGACUUCUACUCCUAUUACAUCACCGAUUAGUUUCUUCACUCCGCCUUGUGUGAAGGGCAGUGGUUUAAGCAUACACAGUCCUGAGUAUAUUCUUAGAAUUGCCGCUAAAAGCUUCCUGAAUACACCUUCCAUAUUUCGAAAGAGAAAGAUGGGAGCCCAAGUGCUUACACUUCCUAACAAGAAAGGAAAAUUGAAUGAGGAAAUAGGUAAGGAUGGGAUUCAAUUAUCAGGUGAACAGGAAAGAACUGAAAACAGUUCGGAACAGGCUCAAUUUUGUGAUGGAGAUCCCUGUGAGAGUCCUGCUUGUCAAGGUGAUAGCCCAACGCUGCCUAAUUCUACAGUGUUUAAUGUAUCUCCUCCGUACCGGUUAAGAUCUAACAGAACUGCUGUUUUGAAGUCUGUGGAAAGACAACUUGAGUUAACAUUCGAUAAAGAGGCAUGAAGGUAAGACAAAAUCUUCAGAUUUAUGUUUGAAUGGUAGCUCUGCUGUUGAAGAUUGCUUGAAUGCGAUGAGGAUGGGGGUCACAUAGUUCUCAAACUGAUGAGGCAAAUAUUCUGUUGAUGCUGGCUUUCGUUUCCCGAGCAAUGGCAUCCAAAUCAGCACUUGUCCCGGCAGACUUACAAAACUUACAAAGUCGUAAUAUUCUUUAUCAGGGGCACCUUCAAUGCCAUCUCUCAAUCAUAUUGCAGAUAUGGUAAUUGACACCAUUGAUGACAUCAAGACGAACAUCAACACGAUCAUGGCCCUGAUCCUAUGGCUGCAGAUUUCCAGCCUUUGCCUUUUUGAAGAAUAUUGACUCGCUAUUUUGUACAUUGACUCCAAUAGGGAUGUUUUAUAAGCUGAGAUAAAGGUGAGAGAGUUUGGGAGGGUUUUGGAAAUCUCUCUUUUCCCUACAUUUGAAUACAAAAUUGACAAUACUUUCCUCAAUACCUGCAAGUUGGUUCUCUCUUUGCCUAAUCAUCAUUUCAGCUAGAGAUGUCAUCAAUUCAAUGAGUACGGCCAAUUAAGAUUUUUCAAUUUUCAAGUUAUUUCUGUUCGGAUCAAACGUUUUAGGUUUGUCAUCAGUUCCGAGUUUGACUUGUUUUGGUUGAAAUAAUUUUAAGUCAUUUGAAUAUGAAAUUAAGUUUAUUUUUAUCAUAA